rnacentral:rRNA from 1 species
CAAUGGGCGCAAGCCUGAUCCAGCAAUGCCGCGUGCAGGAUGAAGGCCUUCGGGUUGUAAACUGCUUUUGUACGGAACGAAAAGCCCUGGGUUAAUACCCUGGGGUCAUGACGGUACCGUAAGAAUAAGCACCGGCUAACUACGUGCCAGCAGCCGCGGUAAUACGUAGGGUGCAAGCGUUAAUCGGAAUUACUGGGCGUAAAGCGUGCGCAGGCGGUUUUGUAAGACAGAGGUGAAAUCCCCGGGCUCAACCUGGGAACUGCCUUUGUGACUGCAAGGCUAGAGUACGGCAGAGGGGGAUGGAAUUCCGCGUGUAGCAGUGAAAUGCGUAGAUAUGCGGAGGAACACCGAUGGCGAAGGCAAUCCCCUGGGCCUGUACUGACGCUCAUGCACGAAAGCGUGGGGAGCAAACAGGAUUAGAUACCCUGGUAGUCCACGCCCUAAACGAUGUCAACUGGUUGUUGGGUCUUAACUGACUCAGUAACGAAGCUAACGCGUGAAGUUGACCGCCUGGGGAGUAC